UGUUGCUGACAUUGCAACAUCCAUCAGGAAGCACACAAGUCUGUCUAUUCCUUGGCCCUUUGAGGCAGAAGGUUUUGUCACCGAGGCUCGAUUUGAAUACGUGAGGAACAGACCUACUCUUGUUUCUCUCAUCCACGGCUACUUGAACAUCUGGGUACCUUUCUCAACUACGCCUGCCAUUUCUAUGCCAGUGCCAGGUGCAGUGGCUUCCCAAGGCUCCCCACCAGCCGUGAAGAGUCCAACCUUAAUUUGCUUUGAUGACGGGAAGCAUGCAAGAGUCCUGGAAGCUGAGUCCUGGGGGUGCCACCUGGCCGUGGAUUGCUGAGGACGGCGGAGUUGUCAUAAGAAGUCUGUUGUCCCUGUCCGUACAAGAGAUCACCUUGCUCUCCACCUGGGGGUCGGACGUGGAGGGUUCUGGAAGCCGUGUUUGCUGCAGUCUGUUUCAUGCCCCUGGAGCACUCAUGAAGGCGGAGUUGUCAUAAGAAGCCUGUUGUCCCCGUCCCUACAAGAGACCACCCUACUCUCCACCUGGGAUUAGGACGAGGCGGGUCCAGGAAGCCGUGUUUGCUGCAGUCUGUUUCAUGCCCCUGAGGCACUCAUGAAGGCGGAGUUGUCAUAGGAAGCCUGUUGUCCCCGUCCCCACAAAAGACCACCCUACUCUCCACCUGGGAUUAGGACGAGGCGGGUCCUGGAAGCCGUGUUUGCUGCAGUCUGUUUCAUGCCCCUGGGGCACUCAUGAAGGCGGAGUUGUCAUAAGAAGCCUGUUGUCCCCGCCCCUAUAAGAGACCACCUUGCUCUCCACGUGGGAUUAGGACGAAGCGGGUCCUGGAAGCCGUGUUUGCUGCAGUCUGUUUCAUGCCCCUGGGGCACUCAUGAAGGAGGAGGUGUCAUAAGAAGCCUGUUGUCCCCGUCCCUACAAGGGACCACCCUACUCUGCACCUGGGAUUAGGACGAGGCGGAUCCUGGAAGCCGUGUUUGCUGCAGUCUGUUUCAUGCCCCUGCGGCACUCAUGAAGGCGGAGUUGUCAUAGGAAGCCUGUUGUCCCCGUCCCCACAAGAGACCACCCAACUCUCCACCUGGGAAUAGGACGAGGCGGGUCCUGGAGCCGUGUUUGCUGCAGUCUGUUUCAUGCCCCUGGGGCACUCAUGAAGGCGGAGUUGUCAUAGGAAGCCUGUUGUCCCCGUCCCCACAAGAGACCACCCUACUCUCUACCUGGGAUUAGGACGAGGCGGGUCCUGGAAGCCGUGUUUGCUGCAGUCUGUUUCAUGCCCCUGGGGCACUCAUGAAGGCGGAGUUGUCAUAGGAAGCCUGUUGUCCCCGUCCCCACAAGAGACCACCCUACUCUCCACCUGGGAUUAGGACGAGGCGGGUCCUGGAAGCCGUGUUUGCUGCAGUCUGUCUCAUGCCCCUGGGGUACUCAUGAAGGCGGAGUUGUCAUAGGAAGCCUGUUGUCUCCGUCCCCACAAGAGACCACCCUACUCUCCACCUGGGAUUAGGACGAGUCGGGUCCUGGAAGCCGUGUUUGCUGCAGUCUGUUUCAUGCCCCUGGGGCACUCAUGAAGGCGGAGUUGUCAUAAGAAGCCUGUUGUCCCCGUCCCUAUAAGAGACCACCUUGCUCUCCACGUGGGAUUAGGACGAAGCGGGUCCUGGAAGCCGUGUUUGCUGCAGUCUGUUUCAUGCCCCUGGGGCACUCAUGAAGGCGGAGUUGUCAUAGGAAGCCUGUUGUCCCCGUCCCCACAAGAGACCACCCUACUCUCCACCUGGGAUUAGGACGAGGCGGGUCCUGGAAGCCGUGUUUGCUGCAGUCUGUUUCAUGCCCCUGGGGCACUCAUGAAGGCGGAGUUGUCAUAGGAAGCCUGUUGUCCCCGUCCCCACAAGAGACCACCCUACUCUCCACCUGGGAUUAGGACGAGGCGGGUCCUGGAAGCCGUGUUUGCUGCAGUCUGUUUCAUGCCCCUGGGGCACUCAUGAAGGCGGAGUUGUCAUAGGAAGCCUGUUGUCCCCAUCCCCACAAGAGACCACCCAACUCUCCACCUGGGAAUAGGACGAGGCGGGUGCUGGAGCCGUGUUUGCUGCAGUCUGUUUCAUGCCCCUGGGGCACUCAUGAAGGCGGAGUUGUCAUAGGAAGCCUGUUGUCCCCGUCCCCACAAGAGACCACCCUACUCUCCACCUGGGAUUAGGACGAGGCGGGUCCUGGAAGCCGUGUUUGCUGCAGUCUGUUUCAUGCCCCUGGGGCACUCAUGAAGGCGGAGUUGUCAUAAGAAGCCUGUUGUCCCCGUCCCCACAAGAGACCACCCUACUCUCCACCUGGGAUUAGGACGAGGCGGGUCCUGGAAGCCGUGUUUGCUGCAGUCUGUCUCAUGCCCCUGGGGCACUCAUGAAGGCGGAGUUGUCAUAAGAAGUCUGUUGUCCCCGUCCCCACAAGAGACCACCCAACUCUCCACCUGGGAUUAGGACGAGGCGGGUCCUGGAAGCCGUGUUUGCUGCAGUCUGUUUCAUGCCCCUGGGGCACUCAUGAAGGCGGAGUUGUCAUAAGAAGUCUGUUGUCCCAGUCCCCACAAGAGACCACCCAACUCUCCACCUGGGAAUAGGACGAGGCGGGUGCUGGAGCCGUGUUUGCUGCAGUCUGUUUCAUGCCCCUGGGGCACUCAUGAAGGCGGAGUUGUCAUAGGAAGCCUGUUGUCCCCGUCCCCACAAGAGACCGCCCUACUCUCCACCUGGGAUCAGGACGAGGCGGGUCCUGGAAGCCGUGUUUGCUGCAGUCUGUUUCAUGCCCCUGGGGCACUCAUGAAGGAGGAGUUGUCAUAAGAAGCCUGUUGUCCCCGUCCCCACAAGAGACCACCCUACUCUCCACCUGGGAUUAGGACGAGGCGGGUCCUGGAAGCCGUGUUUGCUGCAGUCUGUUUCAUGCCCCUGGGGCACUCAUGAAGGCGGAGUUGUCAUAAGAAGCCUGUUGUCCCCGUCCCCACAAGAGACCACCCAACUCUCCACCUGGGAUUAGGACGAGGCGGGUCCUGGAAGCCGUGUUUGCUGCAGUCUGUUUCAUGCCCCUGGGGCACUCAUGAAGGCGGAGUUGUCAUAAGAAGUCUGUUGUCCCAGUCCCCACAAGAGACCACCCAACUCUCCACCUGGGAAUAGGACGAGGCGGGUGCUGGAGCCGUGUUUGCUGCAGUCUGUUUCAUGCCCCUGAGGCACUCAUGAAGGCGGAGUUGUCAUAGGAAGCCUGUUGUCCCCGUCCCCACAAGAGACCAUCCUACUCUCCACCUGGGAAUAGGACGAGGCGGGUGCUGGAGCCGUGUUUGCUGCAGUCUGUUUCAUGCCCCUGGGGCACUCAUGAAGGCGGAGUUGUCAUAGGAAGCCUGUUGUCCCCGUCCCCACAAGAGACCACCCUACUCUCCACCUGGGAUUAGGACGAGGCGGGUCCUGGAAGCCGUGUUUGCUGCAGUCUGUUUCAUGCCCCUGGGGCACUCAUGAA